UUGAAUGAUGCUCUUCGUAUUUUAUACGCUGGAAAUUACCGACUGAGACCCUCUGGUUUCUGAACGAAAACAAAUGGCUAUUUCUGACU
rnacentral:snoRNA from 1 species